UCCGUAAUGGUGUAAUGGUUAGCAUUUCUGCCUCUCAAAUAGGACCUCGGUGUUCAUCGAGAUCUGAUUCUCAGGGUACUGGAUACCCAAAGGGCUUUAAGUCUCUACUUUGUACGCAGGAGAUCAGGGUUCAAUUCCCUGUUACGGAA
rnacentral:tRNA from 1 species